CCUACGGGUGGCAGCAGUGGGGAAUAUUGGGCAAUGGGCGCAAGCCUUACCCAGCAAUACCGCGUGAGUGAAGAAGGUCUUCGGAUUGUAAAGCUCUUUGAUCAGGGACGAACAGAUGACGGUACCUGAAGAACAAGCCACUGCUCACUACGUGCCAGCAGCCGCGGUAAAACGUAGGGGGCGAGCGUUGGCCGGAAUGACUGGGCGGAAAGGGUGCGUAGGGGGCAUAAUAAGUUAGAAGUGAAAUACCCAGAGCUUAACUCGGGUUCUGCUUCUAAGACUGUUGAGCUGGAGUGCGGGAGAGGUUAAUGGAAUUGCGAGGGUAGCGGUGGAAUGCGUAGAUAUUAGGAGGAAACCAAGAGGCGAAGGCGAUUAACUGGACCGUAACUGACGCUGAGGCACGAAAGUGUGGGUAGCAAACAGGAUUAGAUACCCGAGUAGUC
rnacentral:rRNA from 1 species